UUUCAUUCACUGAACAGACAUAGAUUGUCUACUAUGUGCCAGAGACUGUUCUAGAUGCUGGGGACAGAGGUUGAGUUGAUAAUCUGCAUGAUUUGAACAUCCUAAUUUGGUCUGUGAGCCUCUGUUCCAUGACAGAACAGCUUGCCUGGUACUUGGAGAUUCCCAUCACAUCGAGACGAAGUCUCACUCCGUGGCCCAGGCUGGAAUGCAGUGGUGCAAUCUCAACUCACUGCAACCUCCACCUCCCGGGUUCAAGCAAUUCUCUGCCUCAGCCUCCUGCGUAGCUGAGAUUACGGGAUGUCAGCCCCAGGAGGAGAGGAACUUGGUCUGCUUUGUUUGUUUCAUCUGCAGUACUCAGAAGAGGUCUAGGUCUGUUACAGGCAUCCCAGCUAUCGAGGGAACCUGUUAAAGACGCUGAUUACUGAGCCCACCUUACGCCUAUAGAACGGGACGCUGUAGGCGCAAAGCUGAAAAGUCCUGUUUGAAACCAGCCGCAGGCUCACUUCGGUUGUGCGAGUCCUACAGCAGUGACUGACUUCUGUGUACUCUCCCUUCCUCUGGCAACUCCCUUAGGAAAUUAUUUAAGAAAUCACAUCUUUAGAUUUUCUCUUCUCAUGCAACCGUCUCCCUCCCGAUAUAAAAGAGCUUUUAACCAUCAUGUUCUCCCUCACCCAAUGAUAUGGGUAAGACAGAAGAGAAGGGACCCUUUCCCUGAGGGCCAAUCUUGCAGCAGAUCUGAAUUACCGAGCUUUCUUCCAGGCUGCUGCUGCUGGCGCCCUUCGAUCAUCAACUCCACAACUCCCAGGCCUGAAAGCUCACACAUUGGUUUUUCACCAGGAGUAAACUUCUCCAAAGGAGCAAGAUUGGCAGUUUGCUAAAAGGCAUAUAGAUGGACCAAUGUGAAUGGACAUAAACCACAAGGAUCGUUGCCCCUCCCCUAAACACCCAACAGAGUAUCCACUGCAGAGUGGCACUCAGCCAGCAGGAGGAGAAGACUUGUCCUAUGGAUGUCAGCCAGGCUCUCCCUUUGGCCACCAUUAUGCUUGCAAAAUGGGCCCAUGGAUAGAGACUGCAUUGCCUCAGUGUUUGGGCACCCUCUUGCCAAGUCUGAUCUAGUUAUUGAUACUGGUCAUCGCCUGACCUUCCAGCAGCAGUAAUGGAUGCUGAGCCCUCAACAUGGAACCAUUCCUCAGGGAGACCGUAAAGUCACCUGGUGGCAAGUUGAUAACACUGGCCCCUUCUGCCCUGGAGGAAGCAAGGAUUUGUCCUUGUUAGGAGAGGCAACUGCUGUGGACUCUAAGCCUCCCUGCAUGUUCUUGCUGGGUAUGACAAGAAUGCAAGGCCCUCACAGCUCUUGCCAAGUCAUUUAUCAAGGUGUGUUUGCAGUAAUCAACCUUGAGAGAUGAAGUAAUAUCUCCCUCCAAGACAAAGAGAAGGUUUGUUUAUUGCUUGCUAUAAAACGAUGGUUCCCCAAGCUGAAUAUUCUUCAGUUGUGAUACAAACUUACUACAUCUAUCUGUGCCCUUUAUCAUACCCCCAUGAGACUUGGAGACAGGGGAGCUGACAUAUAUCAUGCUGCUUGCUGUGCUGGGAGUAAAAAGUCUUUGUCUCUGAUCUAAGAGUCUUGUAUCUUCUGCCAGAAUCCAUAAAAUAGUAACAGGUUAACUUAUUACCUUCAAAAGUAAGGUAAAAUCUAAUUCCAAACCUAACAGUUUUUACCAGAAUUGCUAUCAAUUCCUGAUAUAAACUUGCCUCCUCCACCUGUAGUACCGCUGUAUAAGAACCACGAACCAAGGCCUCAUAGAAUGCCUGAACUAUUGACUUGGUACCCUGUACAAAAUUGCCUUAGAUUAAGGAACCUUUUUAACAGCAAUGGAGAUACCAAAAAAUGACAUGACCAGAGCAUCUGCAGUUCUUAUCACACACCCCCUCAUUCAGAGGCAUUUGGUUUAACAGAAUGAUGGUCUGUUAGGUAAGGAGCCAGAUUAGGCUCAAAACCCCAUGGUUCUGGGAUACUUGCCUCUAGAAUGUGCUAGACACAUUGAACCAUGGAUGGAUAUAGAGUACUACAUCCCUCAUAGCUUGAAUGCCUGGGACUUGAAACCCAGUUGUGCAAGUAGAAAUGGA